AUUGAACGCUGGCGGCAGGCCUAACACAUGCAAGUCGAACGAGUGGCGGACGGGUGAGUAAUGUCUGGGAAACUGCCUGAUGGAGGGGGAUAACUACUGGAAACGGUAGAUAAUACCGCAUAACAUCAGAUGUGCCCAGAUGGGAUUAGCUAGUUGGUGGGGUAAGGGCGCACCAAGGCGACGAUCCCUAGCUGGUCUGAGAGGAGGACCAGCCACCCUGGAGCGUAGACACGGUCCAGACUCCUACGUGAGGCAGCAGUGGGGAAUAGUGCACAAUGGGCGGAAGCCUGAUGCAGCCAUGCCGCGUGUAUGAAGAAGGCCUUCGGGUUGUAAAGUACUUUCAGCGGUGAGGCGUUACCCGCAGAAGAAGCACCGGCUAACUCCGUGCCAGCAGCCGCGGUAAUAC
rnacentral:rRNA from 1 species